rnacentral:lncRNA from 1 species
AGUUGUUGCUGUUUCUUUCUUUCUUUCUUUUUUUUUUGAAAAAUAACGACGUCUCUGAGGCGCGAAUUCCGACAGCGAGAGGAACGGCCGGAUACGGGAGACGGGAAGAAACAAGCCGAUUAUGUUCGCGUUAAUUAAGUGUUUGGAAGAUGUAAAAUUCUCAAUUCUGCCAACUGAAUAUAUACGAGAUGUUAAUGAGGAUAAAUAAUUAGCCGGCAUGGAGGAAACGGACCUUUAUUUGGUGGAGUGGCGACAAGGAGCCAAAAGGCGGGUGGCCGGUCUAUGAAGCCUCCAUCAUCAAGCUAGCAGCCCAUGAAAUCGAAUGCAGAUCUUCCUGAUGUCAGAUUUACAUAAAUAUGUCAAAGUCUCAACCUCAUGCUGCCCUCCCCCAUCCUCCUAAACCUGUGGUUACAAAUGCAGAUUUCCUUAAUGUUCAAUGGUGCGUGUUCUUUUAAUGGCCGCCUUCCCACUGGAGAUUUUGAUCCACAGCAAUUUAAAAGGAGGACAGAGCAAAACGGACAUCGGCGCAGAGUGAAGAACUGCCCUUCAUAAGGACACUAUGACAGCCAUAUAUAUGGCGGUAAGGAAGAGGUUUCCCAAUGUGUCCAGAAGGGCUUUGAGGAUUGCAGUGAAAGCUGGGGGAACUGAGACUGCUGGAAAAGGAAAAGAAAUUACAUUUAAAGUAUGUUGACUUAUGUUCAUACAAUCACACACACAUAUAUGUAUACAUAUAUAUAUAUAUAUACAUAUAUAUAUAUAUAUAUGUAUAUAUACACACACACACACAUAUAUGUAUAUGUGUGUGUGUGUUUCUUUUAGAAUGUUUAAGUAUGUAAUGAGAAUAAAAUUAUAAAAUGAAUAUUCCUUGCUUGAUUGAUAUGCUAUAUGUAUGUUUUAAACAUCAAAUAAAGAUUUCUUUCAGCUGUUACAUGUGAAUGUGUUUUCUUAGAAAUAUAUGAAGGGUUAAAUUUAU